rnacentral:rRNA from 1 species
UACGUAGGGUGCGAGCGUUGUCCGGAAUUAUUGGGCGUAAAGCGCACGUAGGCGGCUUAGCAAGUCGGAUGUGAAAUCCCUCGGCUCAACCAAGGAAGUGCAUCCGAAACUGCUGAGCUUGAGUACGAAAGAGGAUCGCGGAAUUCCCGGUGUAGAGGUGAAAUUCGUAGAUAUCGGGAGGAACACCAGUGGCGAAGGCGGCGAUCUGGGUCGAUACUGACGCUGAGGUGCGAAAGCCUGGGGAGCAAACAGG